rnacentral:rRNA from 1 species
GACGAACGCUGGCGGCGCGCCUAACACAUGCAAGUCGAACGGAGUCAAGAGGAGCUUGCUUUUCUUGACUUAGUGGCGAACGGGUGAGUAACGCGUGAGUAACCUGCCCUGGAGUGGGGGACAACAGUUGGAAACGACUGCUAAUACCGCAUAAGCCCACGGAUCCGCAUGGAUCUGCGGGAAAAGGAUUUAUUCGCUUCAGGAUGGACUCGCGUCCAAUUAGCUAGUUGGUGAGGUAACGGCCCACCAAGGCGACGAUUGGUAGCCGGACUGAGAGGUUGAACGGCCACAUUGGGACUGAGACACGGCCCAGACUCCUACGGGAGGCAGCAGUGGGGGAUAUUGCACAAUGGGGGAAACCCUGAUGCAGCGACGCCGCGUGGAGGAAGAAGGUUUUCGGAUUGUAAACUCCUGUCGUAAGGGACGAUAAUGACGGUACCUAACAAGAAAGCACCGGCUAACUACGUG